AGGGUGGGUGUGAUGUUAUAAGCUGAGGAAAAAGUCGUGCAUGCAAGCAGCCUAUUUGUGUUAUGGUAAAUAUACUUUGUUUUUAAUUUUGACUGGAGUUAAGGGGAAUAGCAGUUGUAGACCACAAGAGCUGGGAGGAGACAGCAGAGCAGUUGGGUGGUGAGGAAGGAGAGGAUGUGAAGAGCAGUCAGGAUGAACCUGCUAUGGGAAGUCUGAAGUUCAGACUGUUCUGAAAACAGCUUAUUUUAUCCACAGCUCCUAGUUGCAGAACCUCCAAGAUACUUCUCUUCUGGGUCUGGCAGAAGAUCAGUUUGUUUGUCCUGAAAAGCUCUGGGAGAUGGAUUUGUGCAAAGCAUCUGGAAGAGCCUGGCUGUAACUCACACUGCCUCUCCAAGGAUGGAGUCCCUCUGUGCUGAGCAGGGGCUCUGCAACCAUCUCUAUUGCACAGAGACGCCCCGAUGCAAGUGCUAAUCAACCCAAGCGAUGAUUGCAAUUGCACUGCAACUUAUUUUGAUAAUGUGUUUUGGCUCCUUAGCUACAGGUCCAAAUAAUUUAGCAGUCAUCCAGACACCGACGAAAGUACACUUAUCAAUUGGAGACUCCACGGAAAUUGCAUGUAUUUGGGAAAAAAUCAGUUCGAUUGAGAGGUAUAGAGUAAGCUGGUAUCUUGUCAAUGAAGAGAACAUCACAAAAACUGUAACAUCGGAGCUUGUCUACAUAUCCAAUGUCACCCACAAAAACAAGGAUGUGCUAGUGAUAGAAGCUGCCAAUGUAAAUAACACUGGAUUUUACUACUGUGAGAUAAUUAUUGAAAUACCUUUCUGUGAAAGAGUAUAUGGAAAUGGAACAACACUGACUGUUGAAAUGAAAGAAGCUGACUCACUCGAAAAGAGAGAGAUGGCAAUUUUGGCCAUCAUUCCUUUCUUAGUGGCAGUGGGAAGCUUGUAUCUUUGCUGCAAAAAGAAACAGGACUCAAAACUUUCUGGUUCUACCCAGCUUCCUAUGCCAGAAGAAAGACAUGAGGAGGAGCAGAUGCUUCAGCUAGAUGAACUUCAUGGAAGAAGUGAAUUCAUCAAUGAAGCAGCUGAAGAAAACUCAUCAUGUAAUUCUGCUGAAUGGGCUGUGUCUACACUGUAUGAAUCAUUUGAUCUUUUUUGCAAUGAACCAAGAUAAAAGAUGGCAAAUCCAUUGUGACUACUGUAUCCAGUGCAGCAGAUGAAGAAAGCCCAUGAAUGAGGGCAGCUGAAGAGUCAGGAACAAAAGUGAGACAAGGAUUUACUAUCUACUUUGACACUAAGAACUAAAGGAUCAUGUCAUAAAUAACCGGUAUGGAUAAAGAUCUAUGAAACUGAAAACAAUACCAUAAUUUGCUGCUGAAAUAUGGAUUACAUGAGUCUGCUGUCAGAAGCACAUCAGUGGGACAAUAUGCCAGAACAAAUGUUGGUUCAGAACAGUCUCUGAAUGUUUUGUCAUUGACUUUAUCAUAAGGAUCUGUGAAUUUGGAGUGUUCACAGUUUUAGAAGACUAUGUCUUCAACUCUACCCCCAAUAUCCAGAGUGCAGAACUAAUAAGGGAUGUAUUGCCAUACUUCGUGUCUUCUGGAUUGAACGGUAUUUUUCAACAAAAGUGUUACUUCAGGCAGCCAAGCAUUGGCUGCCUGAAAUUUAAUGGCAAUCUUUCAACCAAAUAGGUAGGUACUACAUAUAGGACGAAGUCUGAUCCCUGAAACAGUCAUCAGUGCUGACUGCAUCUUACCAAGGGUGAUAUGCCAAAAGGCAUUACUUUCCUGCAGACAGGAACUGCUGAUGUUAAUUUAUUCACAAUAUUAAAGCCUGCCAGAGUAGGUAGUCUCCUAUGGUCAAUGAAAUACUCAGUUUAAAUGAAAUUAUAUAUAAUAGAAUUAUAUAUAAUUAUCAUUUGAUUGUGGGGAGGUUUGGAGCAAAUGGGUGUUAACACUUAUUCCACUUUUGCCCAUUCUAAAACUAGAGAAUCACUGAAGAAAUAAAUCAAAACUAAAAAUGCA
ensembl:lncRNA uncharacterized LOC112960496